CGGAGGAUGCAAGCGUUAUCCGGAUUUAUUGGGUUUAAAGGGUCCGUAGGCGGAUCUGUAAGUCAGUGGUGAAAUCUCACAGCUUAACUGUGAAACUGCCAUUGAUACUGCAGGUCUUGAGUAAGGUAGAAGUGGCUGGAAUAAGUAGUGUAGCGGUGAAAUGCAUAGAUAUUACUUAGAACACCAAUUGCGAAGGCAGGUCACUAUGUCUUAACUGACGCUGAUGGACGAAAGCGUGGGGAGCGAACAGGAUUAGAUACCCUGGUAGUCCACGCCGUAAACGAUGCUAACUCGUUUUUGGGGCUUCGGCUUCAGAGACUAAGCGAAAGUGAUAAGUUAGCCACCUGGGGAGUACGUUCGCAAGAAUG
rnacentral:rRNA from 1 species